rnacentral:rRNA from 1 species
GACGAACGCUGGCGGCGUGCUUAACACAUGCAAGUCGAGCGAGAAACCCUCUUCGGAGGGGAGUACAGCGGCGAACGGGUGAGUAACACGUGGGCAACCUGCCCCAUGGAGCGGGACAACCCGGGGAAACCCGGGCUAAUACCGCAUGUUCCGCGGUGCCCAAGGCACCUCGGGAAAUGGUAGCUUCGGCCUCCGCCUUGGGAUGGGCCCGCGGCGCAUUAGCCUGUUGGUGAGGUAACGGCCCACCAAGGCGACGAUGCGUAGCUGGUCUGAGAGGACGAUCAGCCACACUGGGACUGAGACACGGCCCAGACUCCUACGGGAGGCAGCAGUGGGGAAUCUUGCGCAAUGGGCGGAAGCCUGACGCAGC